rnacentral:rRNA from 1 species
UACGGGGGGAGCAAGCGUUGUUCGGAUUUACUGGGCGUAAAGGGCGCGUAGGCGGCCAGCACAAGUCAGUUGUGAAAUCUCCGAGCUUAACUCGGAAAGGUCAACUGAUACUGUGCGGCUAGAGUGCAGAAGGGGCAACUGGAAUUCCCGGUGUAGAGGUGAAAUUCGUAGAUAUCGGGAGGAACACCGGUGGCGAAGGCGGUGAUCUGGGUCGAUACUGACGCUGAGGUGCGAAAGCGUGGGGAGCAAACAGG